GAUGAACGCUGGCGGCGUGCCUAAUACAUGCAAGUCGAGCGAACGGACGAGAAGCUUGCUUCUCUGAUGUUAGCGGCGGACGGGUGAGUAACACGUGGAUAACCUACCUAUAAGACUGGGAUAACUUCGGGAAACCGGAGCUAAUACCGGAUAAUAUUUUGAACCGCAUGGUUCAAAAGUGAAAGACGGACUUGCUGUCACUUAUAGAUGGAUCCGCGCUGCAUUAGCUAGUUGGUAAGGUAACGGCUUACCAAGGCAACGAUGCAUAGCCGACCUGAGAGGGUGAUCGGCCACACUGGAACUGAGACACGGUCCAGACUCCUACGGGAGGCAGCAGUAGGGAAUCUUCCGCAAUGGGCGAAAGCCUGUCGGAGCAACGCCGCGUGAGUGAUGAAGGUCUUCGGAUCGUAAAACUCUGUUAUUAGGGAAGAACAUAUGUGUAAGUAACUGUGCACAUCUUGACGGUACCUAAUCAGAAAGCCACGGCUAACUACGUG
rnacentral:rRNA from 1 species